AGUGUUCCUACAUAAACUUGGAGGUCUCUUUCAGACUUCGGACACCCACUAAGUCAGAUUGUUCCCUCCAAAGGGU
rnacentral:snoRNA from 1 species